rnacentral:ncRNA from 2 species
AUAAAUCUUCAGGACGCGGCGCAAUUCCGCACUGGUGGUAAAAUCCCCCGAGGGGGAUAAAAGCCCACGAGCCCUAAAAAGCAGAUCCGGCGAGAUUCCGGAGCCAAUAGUAUAGUCUAGAUGGAAGAAGAAGGCA